UGGGGAAUUUUGCACAAUGGACGAAAGUCUGAUGCAGCAAUGCCGCGUGAAGGAUGAAGGUCUUAGGAUUGUAAACUUCUGUUGAUCGAAAAGAAAAGAUAUAAGUUAAUACCUUAUAUUUAUGACGUUAUCGGUCUAGAAAGCUCCGGCUAACUUCGUGCCAGCAGCCGCGGUAAUACGAAGGGAGCGAGCGUUAUUCGGAAUUAUUGGGCGUAAAGGGCGCGUAGGCGGUGCUAUAAGUUUAUCAUUUAAUUUCCUGGCCUAACUGGGAGCAUGUGGUGAAUACUGUGGUGCUAGAAUGUAAUAGAGAGAGAUGGAAUUUUCGGAGUAGCGGUAAAAUGCGUAGAUCUCGAAAGGAACGCCAAUGGCGAAGGCAGUCUCUUGGGUUAUUAUUGACGCUGAUGCGCGAAGGCGUGGGGAGCAAACAGG
rnacentral:rRNA from 1 species